GGCGGUCUGCGCUUCGCGGCAGGAAUAACAUUCCCCGGGGCCUUACUGAUCCCAAGGGAGCUGUCCCUGGGGGGACCCGUGGGUCCUCUCAUACGGCGCCCACCUACGUUGUAGGCACCCGGGAUCAACUUUUCCACCGGUUGUCGUGGAUCGUCA
rnacentral:other from 1 species